AUGUAACAAUAGAACUCGGAAAACAGUGCUAGACAUUGCCUUUCAUUUUGUGAGGAUAUAACAGGCGACUAGUGACAAUACCCAAGAGUGGUGAUUGUUGGAGAUACGGCAUCAGAAAGUGUUUGUGGCCUAGCAUUUUGUGAGUACCUGAUGCUGGUCCGGCACAAUACAUGUUGAUGCCUGCUCAGGUUCGUGGGCUUGUAGCACUGCUAGAGAGCAUUCUACAUGCUUCAUCAUGGAGGUCAAAACCAGUCUGCUUACAGUUCACUGGAUAACUAGUUGGUCUUCAAAUGGCUACAGUUGGAUGCUCACAAAUUCAAUCAAAACAGAUGAACCUUCUAACUGAGUUUUACCUAAGAGCUUUGAAUUUUUUUGACCCCCCUUGCUACUCUGUGUUUUGAGUUGCGAUAUCUAGGUUCUGUAAUGUGAAGCCUUGCAUUUGUUUUAUUCAUAGGUGUCAUGGGACCUUUGCAAAGGAGCCUCCACAAACAAUAUAAGUAGCUCUUUCCUCAUUGUCCACAGCAUCCAUCUGCACCAAGAACCUAAACUUGCCUCUUUUCUUUUCAGUAGUGCACCAAACACACCAUAGGACCUCCUUGUGGAAGAGCAUCCAAAUGGUUUUCUCCCCCCCCCCCCCCUUUCUACUUCUACCAGAAAGGCUGCUCUAAUUUUUCAAUUGCCAAGGCUGCUAUAGGCUCCUCUAUUAUGUAAUUGUUUUGGACACUUGUUGAGUCACUAGGGGCCAUUGGAAAAUUGGCUGCAUUUAUUUAGAUGGACAGUUUGAACAUCUUUGGUUUUUAUUAUAUGGCUUGUGUGGCGGAUCUAUAGUUCUGGUACGGACAGCAGUUGCUUUUGUUACCCCGCCCCCCCCCCUCUCUAUAUCUUGGGUCUACAGUUGCUUUCACCUGUUGCAGAAACACAAAUCCUGGGAUGGCUUUCUGUUUUUUAUCUAAAAAAUGAGAAAAGGUAAAAGAAAUCUAUAUAUUUUAUGACACAUUGGUUGACAUGAUGUUCAUAACUUAAUACAUGUAAUGUGCUUCCAUGCACCCGUGCCACAGAGAUUAAAAGAUUUUCCACUUUCUCUAAUUUUAGUUGCUUCUCUUUUCUCUUUUCCAUAACCUACUGACCCAUGUUAUGGUCAUUUCUUACCAAACCAGGGGCCUAUGUCUUUCCCUUUUUUCAUUUUCUACAUUUCCUCUUCUUGAUUGAAUGCUUCUUUAUUAAUCAGGAAGGGAUGGAUAUAUUGAUUUUAUUUCUAAAAACAGGUAUACUCUUGAGAGCUCAAGUUUUUUGCUGAACUUAAAUUGUGGGAUUGGCUAGCAGAAGCAGGAAAUGGUGAAAAGGUUAUAGAUUGCCUUGAUGUUGUUUCUAUCUUCACAUAAAGUUAUGUGUAGAGUACCUUACUCAUUUCCCUGUUUCACAGGUAUGGAGUGUUUUGAUGCGUACAAUUUAUCAUGUUGCGGUGUGUAGAGGGACUCAUCACCUCCCUCCUGCGGUGUUGUGAUCUUGAUUUAUACAAACAAUCAAGAGGCCUUGAAGAUCCCGAGCUUCUUGCAAGGGAGACAGUCUGUACGCACUGGUCCAAUCUUUGUGAUAACAUUUUUUAUUUUUUAUUUGAUGCUGCUAAUGGGUUUCCUCUGCUUCUUAUUCUUUGUAUGUUUAGUAAACAGAGAAUGGUUAGAUUUUAUGCAAUAUGUCCUACUAAGUGGUUUUGCACUAUUUGUCUUAAACUUUGACUUUUUGAUUUUGAUUGUGAAAGUCUUGCAAUAGAGGUUAUCUUAUGAUGAACAUAGUAAAUACCUUUCGCCAUUGGUCUCAUUUAUGUUGUGAAGAUAAAUGCUCAUUGUGAUGGCUCUUUUUUAUUUUCCAAUGAAAAGGAUACUACAGCUAGUUUCAUAAUGAACAUAAUAUCUUUACCCUUAGUGAUAAUUCAAUUGACAGUUGUGUUCUUGCUAACAUUGGAUGCAGUCAGUGUAAGUGAAAUAGAGGCAUUAUAUGAGCUCUUUAAGAAGAUCAGCAGCGCCGUGAUUGAUGAUGGAUUGAUCAAUAAGGUUUGUUUAUUCUUCAAGCUGGUGAUACAAAAUUUUUAUUUUAUGCAUACGCAUGCUCUGUGUUUCUGUCUUAAUAUGAACUAAUACUUCCUCUUACAAUGCCAGGUUUCAUUUUCUUCAUGUAAAUACUACUUUCUUAUAAUUUAUUUGAAAAUGCUUACAUGCAUUUUUCUCUAAUUUCCUAUUACAGGAGGAGUUUCAAUUGGCGUUGUUCAAGACAAACAAAAAGGAAAGUUUGUUUGCUGAUAGGGUACUUCUCUCUUGUCAUUGCCAAAACCUACUUUCAAUUGUAUCCUAUGAAUUUUCUAAUAGAGUAUUUUGACCCAUUUGUUAAUUAUCUUUUGUUUGCUACUGUCUUGUGUUGCUUAUUGAUUGCAGGUAUUUGACUUGUUUGAUACAAAACAUAAUGGGAUACUAGGUUUUGAAGAGUUUGCCCGUGCCCUCUCUGUUUUUCAUCCAAACGCCCCUAUUGAUAAUAAGAUUGAGUGUAUGUCUGAGAUUGAGUAUUUCCUUAUCAUAACCUUUCUUUUCUUUUGUCCCUCAUGUAUGAUCAUAAUUGUUUUGAGCAUACCUCAUACAUUAACUAAUUGGCAUACUGUUUGUGCUUAAAGAUUUGAUAUGUUUUAGCGUCUAAUUAGGAUGAAAAAUUUCAAAAUACCACUCUUAAUUUUCCAGGCAUUCACUAGCUGGUGCUCUAUUUAUGUUAAUGUGUUAUGUGCCAUUGCAGUUUCUUUCCAACUUUACGAUCUAAAGCAGCAAGGUUUUAUUGAAAGACAGGAGGUAAAUUUCAUUGUUUAAUGGUUAACUUUAGGUUAUUUGAUUCUUGAACGACUUUUAGUUGUUUAUUUAUUUAUUUUAUUGGUGAGUUUAGACCUUAUCAACUUGUUGAUGUACAGGUGAAGCAAAUGGUAGUGGCUACUCUUGCUGAAUCUGGUAUGAACCUUUCAGAUGAUGUUAUAGAAAGUAUAAUUGACAAGGUGCUCCCUCAGAUUAGUUGAUUUUUUUCCUUCUUGCCUGAUAAAUCAGUUCUUGAAAGCUUUCAAAAUUAUUUUGUUUGCUUGCAAGUGUUUAUUGGAAAAUUUUCGGAUUCUGAAUUCUGGAGUCUUAUUUCAGACCUUUGAGGAAGCUGAUACAAAACAUGAUGGGAAGAUUGACAAAGAAGAGUGGAGAAGCCUUGUUUUACGCCAUCCAUCCCUUCUGAAGAAUAUGACCCUUCAAUACCUCAAGUGAGUUCAGAAUACGCAUACCUACUUCCCUUUCUCGCUAGAUGUUACUUAAUGCUAUGGGAUUUUCUUGUCAACCAAAGAAUUUUCGGACAUUCCAAACCUUUGAUGGGCUAGAAAAUGUAACUGGUUAGGCAAAUACUUCCAUGUUGAACCUCAUGCUAGUGGCGAGUUAUGACUCGGUUUCUUUAUUUCCUUGAGCAGGGACAUCACCACUACAUUCCCAAGCUUUGUUUUCCACUCACAAGUCGACGACACCUGAAUUCGAGACACCUGAAUUCGAGACAUCGGUAUUCAAAGCUUGCAGACUUUGUUUUUUUAUGUUUUGUUUCUCCGCAGAUGUGAUGGGCAGGGGAGCAUGGUUCUUCGGCCCCUGCGGGCAAAUUUCAUCAUGAUGUUGAUAUAGGCAUGCAGUUGGGGAGGCCUCACGGCUAGUUUUAGCAUUAAGGCUUCUACGCGGCAGAAGAAGUUACUGUACCACUGAUGUAGCAAGGAUACGGUUGAUCAGGCCAUUAAAAUGCUUAGAUGUUCACCUUCCAAAGCAUGAAUGAUUCUUAAAUGGUCGGUACGGUAGUGACUUCCAUGCCUCUGCGUCUGGACUACAUUUACACUUCUGGUUGUGAUAACUUGGGAGCUUUGGACUCCUUUCAAUUUCUAAUGCAUGAGUUUAUGUAUGUUUACCUUAUUACCUUCCUCCGUUGAGCAAGGCGUGGCCCUUGACUUCUUCACAGCUGGACUGCAUUUACGAUUCAAAUGAAUAGCGAGCUUUAGUGAUUCUCAGUAUCGGAAUCCGAAUUACCAUACAACGUUCUUCCAAGUGUUUGAAAGGAAAUUGGAGUAUAGCAUGAUUUAAAUUUGAUCUUCUUUAUCAAAAAAAGAAAAAGAAAAAGAAGAAAAGAUAGCAUCUUAGACCAUUUUAUAGUUUUUGUGUUUUUGCUACCAUAAAGAAAAAACUAUUGGAUUAAAUUGUAGUUCUGAUGGUUUUUCAAAGUUUUUUUUUUUCAUAUAGAAAUAUAUUGAAUAAUAUUAUUUUUUUUAAAAAAAUAUUUUUAACAUUAACACAUUAAAAUGAUCAAAAAAUAUUAAUUUAAAACAAAUAAAAAAAAUUAAUUUUUUUAAAAGUAUUUUUGAAACACAAAAAUAAAUUUUAGUUAAAUAUCUUUUACUUUUUGUAAUCUUGGUUUUUAUUGAAACUAAAAUAACUAGUUUUUUUUUAUUUAUAUAGAUUUAUUUUACAUGUAAAAAUUUAUUUUGUAAACAUAUAAAUAUGACAUCGGUAUAUCAAAAUGAUCUGAAAACACUAAAAAAAUAUUAAUUUGAAGUAAAUAAAAAAAUUAAAUAUUUUUAAAAAUAUUUUUGAAAAGUAAAAACAAACAGAAUUUUAGUUAAACAACUUUUACUUUUUGUAUUAUACCUAUAUGAUUAGAUUUUAAAUCUUGGUUUUUGUAGAAACUAAAAUAACUUGUUUUUUAUUUAUAUAGAUUUAUUUUACAUGUAAAAAUUUAUUCCACAAACACUAAAAAUGUGAGAAAGUGUGGAUUUUGAAAGAUUGAUAUUAAUUUUUAAAAUAUUAUUAAAUAAUUUAUGUUUGUUAGGGAGUAUUUAGAAAUAUGGUAGAAAUUAUAUUUGAAUAUAUAUUUUUUUGAUAAUAUAUUAAGAUAAUAUUUUUAAUUUAAAGUAAAAAUAAAAAAGUGAAAUAGCUGUUGAGCCGGAACUCCAAGAAUGCCAUUGGAAUCCACAGGACCACAGCUACAUUUAGAGCGUGUUUGGCAGUGUGGUAGCGGUUGCUUUUCAAAUAGUUUUUCGUGCCGAAAUACAUGCAAAUGAUGUUUUUUCAUUUUUUAAAAAUCAUUUUUGAUAUCAGCACAUCAAAACGAUUCAAAAAGUACAACCGUAACUCAAUUUUAGUAAAAAAAAAAAUUUGAAUUUUGUCAAAACGCCGGUUUGGCAGCAAUGCCAAACGGGCUCUUAAAAAAUGGACGGUGGAGUAAAACUGAAAUGACAUGAAAGGCCACCUGGUACAAGACGAAUCUAUGAUCAUAAACAAAUCAUUGAAGCCCUGUUCUUGAAUUGAUACCCCCAUUAUAACUUUAGUUAGCAUAAAGAUGAAAGGCGAGCAUAUAAUUGCUAUUUGAUUCGAGCUUUACUUUAGAAAACUAAAGCAAGAUAUAAAUCUCCCACUGGAACAUCCUCCUUUUCACUGUGCAGAGUCAUGUGAAGAUAGGAAAAUCAAACUGCUGGUUCUUGCUUGCAUCUGUUGCUUUUAUUGUUGUGUUUUGAGCAGUAGCAGCAACAGGCAGGUAGUAGAAGACAAAGAAAGCAGCGGCGAGAGCUAUGAACACCUUUUGUGAUUGUGAAGACUUUCGGUCCCCGACAACCAUUCACGCGUUUCUUCGUUUUUUCUUUUAAACCUAAAGCACAUUGAGAAAAAAGGAGAGAGAGCGAGAGCGCGAGACCAACCGACACCGUUUGUUCUCUCCUUCUUUAUUAAUACUUGCUGGUGUUUGUUUUGCUUCGAGACAGCGAGAGCCAAACAGACUAGCAAACAAACAAGAGGCGUCUGGACUGGAGAGCUAGAAAUGGUUUCUUUUAAAGAAAUCACCCUCAAAGUAACGGCUGUCUACAUGCAGCUCUCGAUCAUCGUCAUGAUCAUCAUCGUACAGGACUCAAAAGCCAGGGAGCUACGACCCUCUGACCACGGGCUUGAGUACCAGAGCAUGCCACCAACAGCGGUGAGAUUCCCACCUGACAUGAAGCAGUUCUUUGGAGCGUCUUCAGCGGCCACAAGUACGUCGUCGUCCGGGGUUGCAUUGCCUAAAGCAAUGAACUCGAACGACACCUCGUGGUGGAGAGCUGCUGGAGGCCGCGGCGGUGGUGGAGGCGGCGGCGAUCGUGUGAGGCACGUGCUGUUGGUAGCAAGCUUGGUUUGUGGGGUCACGGGUUUUGCCUUGUUAGUUACUUCCGCUUUGAUUUUCUACUUUAUGAGGCACAAAAACCAGUCAUCGCCGCCAUCAUCAACUACCAAUAAUAACCAUAGGAGUAUUGUUGUAUAUUCAGGUAAGAAUUAACUAGUAGUAUUAAUUGUUGCUUAAGAUUUACGAGCGAGUGUUUUCUCCUUUUGUUCUUUUUGCCUUUCAAAAACGACGUGUCGUGUUCAGUCUGAUGGGCAUCCACUUGGAACAAUAUUUACAGAGUUUCAGCUUCUUCUUCUUCUUCUUCUUCUUCUUUCUUUUCAAAUUCUCGUACAGAGAAAUACAUACAUUUAAUCUAAUUAAUCAAAAUCAAUUAAUUUUCAAGUGUUUUAUACGCAAGGGAACAAAAUAAAAUCCUAGGGAGAAUAAUUUAAAAUAAUUUAAAUUUAAAAAAUAAAAAAAACAUUUUUGACGCGCAAGAAUAUGUUGACUAGGGAGAAGUGUCUGAAAUAUGUGGGUGGAAAUGCUACAGCUGUGCGCAUCACAGGGCAGUGAUAUUUUGGUGAACGAAGUAUCUGAGAGGAAGAAAAGAUACCGCGAGUCCUGUCCAGCUGGCAUACAUGAUUUAUUUAUUUAUUUAUUUAUUUAUUGGGUUUGUCAGCUGGUAAUGGCCUGAUCCAGCUCAACUUGGUGCUUCACUAGUGGAUAAGAUUAGGUUUUAGGUCAAAUAAUGCACAUGAUGGGAUUAAAAGUUUUCCUCAAAAGCUAGCUUGCUUUUAAAUAUUUGUGACCGUACCGGUGCCCUAAGCAAGAAAAUUAUCAGCUCCAGCUUCCAAGCCUACCGCUACCGUAGCUUUGUUGUUGUUAGUAGAAUGCUAUGAUAAUGAUAGUGUUUUUAAAAGAAUCUAUGGUUAUUUAUGUUUAAUAAAUUUAGUUAAUUUAAUAAUAUAAUUAUUAAAUAAUACUAGUAAUAAUAAAUAAAAAAAUAUUAUGGCUAAUAAAAAAAAAUGAAACGGUGAAGUGUAUUGGAAAAAAUAAUAAUUAAAAAAAAUAUGACUCAAAGUUAGCAUGUUAAAUUUACGAUAUAAUUGUGAGGUUAAAAUGACCUGGUACAAAAUAAAAUAAAAUAAAAUAAUAAAGGUUAACUUAAAAAAAAAGAUUAGAUAAUAAAAGUUGGUAAUAAAAAAAAUUGAUUAAAAAAAUAUCAAAAAUAAAAAUUUUAUUCAACUAGGUUAACUUGACUAAUCUAUAACCCUUGAUGUAAGAUUGAGAUGAAUUCAUAGAAAUGAAAGUGAAAAAAAAUCAACAGAUGAAGGCUCAAUAAUCUAAUAUUAAAUGAUGAAAUUAAAAAAAAAUCAAUUUAAAAAAAUCUAAAAAAAAGAUGGUAAUUAAAUCGGACUAAUAUUCAACACUUAUGACUUAGGUCAUGAGAUCAGGUUAUUUCAUAGAAGAUAAAUCUGAAAAAAUUAUAAAACAAAAUUUUUAAUUUUUUAAAAUUAAAAUAAAAAAAUUACCAAUAAAAAAUAAAGAUCAAAUCAGCAUGGAAACUAAAUAAAGUAAAACAAUGAUGGAUAAUAUUGAUAAAUCAAGAAAAUGGUAAAAAAAAAUAGCAAUAAAAUAAUGAGAAUUAAAAUUAAUAUAAAUAUUAAAUGAAAUAAAAUAAUGAUAUAAAAUUAAAAAAUAAAAUAAAUAAAGAUAAUAAUAAGGAUAAAAAAACAAUAAAAAUAUAAUAUUAUAGAAAAAAAUACACGGACUAAUUAUGAUGGCGAGAAAAAGUUGGAACACUUUCUCAUCUUUCGACUCAGGAGGUUCUUGAUCUCAGGACAUUGAACAAAUUAGAGUGGUCGAGAAAAAUGCUAGACUGAGUUUUAUUCUUGCAGAGUUUGAAACUUAAUAACUCCAUAAAAGUUCUAUCCCUGUCGAAUUCCUAUAUAGUAUAUGAUAUUAUGUUAUAAUUAUUUUUUAAAUUUUAUUUUUUAUAUCAAUACAUUAAAAAGAUCUAAAAUCAUAAAAAAAAAUUAAAAAAAAAUAUUUUUUAAACAUAAAAGCAAACUCGCCGGCCGGUGAAAUUGAAGAAUAUUUUCAGUGAUAACGGGUUUAGCUAGCUGAAAGAUUAAGGCCCAUAACUCAAGGAUAUAAAUAAGGCAAAAGUAGCCCAUUAACAUGAUCCAAACAUAGUGGCUCAAUCUAGAAAGCACAUCAGCCCGUAUUUCCUGCUUGUCUCCAUUGGUUUUCACUCUAGGGCUCCGUUUGUUUGCAGGAAAGUGAAUUUCUUUUGAAAAGUGAAUUCCGGGGAAAGUGAAUUCCUGGAAAGUGAAUUCCGGGAAAGUAUUUUCCGAUGUUUGGUAGUGUUAUGGAAAAUGAACUGGAAAACACUUUCCAGUGUUUGGUUAUGUCAUGGAAAAUGAGCUGGAAAAUAACUUAUUAAUAUUUUAUUUUUCUCAAGUUUAUUAAAAUAAUGAGGAACAAAUCUUACAAAUUAAAAAGUUGAAUGAGAAUGAAAUUGAAAAAAAAAAUAUAAUUUCAUAAAUUAUCUCAAAUAAAACAAAUAAUAAUCAAAAUAAUAGGGAUCAAAUCUAAAAAAUUUUAAAAAAAUGAAAAAUGAAGAAAUUAAAAUAAUAAUAAUCAACAUUUCAUAAAUUAUUUCAAAUAAAAUAAGUAACAAUCAAAAGAAUGAGGAUCAAAUUUGAUAAAUAAAAAAUUUCAAUAAAAAAAUGAUAAGAAAAAAGCAAAUAGCAAUUAUAAAAAUAAGGACCAAAGUUAAUAUAAAAAUAAAAUUUUAAGAGAUGAAAUUGAAAAAUAAAUAUUCAAAACAAAAUAUAUAUAGCAAUCAAAAGUUUGAGGAUCAAAUUUGAUAUAAUCAGCAAAUAAUGACAUUUCUAAAUUUUUCACAACUUCCAGAAAGUGUUUUCCCCUCAAAUUUUUCAGGAAAACACUUUCCUGAAAACCAAGCCAAAUUUUCCUUUUACUGGAAAGUGUUUUCCAUUGAUCAAUUUUCCUACUGGCAAACAAACACAAGAAAGUUUGGAAAAUGCUUUCCCGGAAACCACUUUCCGGAAAACAAACACAGAAAAGGAAAACACUUUCCUGAAAACCAAGUCAAUUUUUUUUUUUUGACUAAAAUUGACUGGAAAGUGUUUUCCGUUGACCGGAAAGUGUUUUCCGCUGACCGGAAAUUGUUUUCCGUUGACCAAUUUUCCUAAUGACAAACAAACACAGGAAAGUUUGAAAAAUGGUUUUCCGGAAACUACUUUCCGGGAAACAAACAAGGCCUAGAUUUCUUGUUUUUUGAUGGCAACAGAGGGUAGAGGAGGACAAGAGAGCAGGAAAAGGGGUUUUUUUUUUUUUUUAAGAGAUUCUUCGAUUUUAAAAUGAUUUUCAUUUAGAAAUAUAUUAAAAUAAUAUUUUAUAUUUUUUUAAAAAAAUAUUUUUAAUAUUAACAUAUAAAAAUAAUUUAAAUCACCAAAAUAUAUUAAUUUAAAAUAAAUAAAUUUUUUUUAAUAUUUUUAAAAACAAACCGUAUACAUGUGAGAAUGAUUUAAGAGACGGCACGAUGUUGUGAGUUUCCUCGUCAAUAAACAAGGCCGACUCAUUUCUCAUACUUGGAUUAAAUGAAUCAAACACAUCAACAUAAAAGCAUGAAAAAACAUCGUUUGGGCACCUCGUUGCUUCGAAUAUGUUGAAUCCAUGGUUAAGGUCUCUUCAAGGACAUCUAUCCUCGUCCCUGUGAUUGUCAGAAAUGGAUGUCCACAUGAGAAGCAAUUUAGCAGGCGUCGGCGAGAAAUCAGCCGGAAAUAUCAACUCAUUUUCCGGCAACAAAACAUCCUUCAUAAAGCCCUUUGGAUAACAAUUUGAUUGAUCGGCUAGCCUGAUCACCACAAUUGUUCCCAUGCUUCAUUAAGCUUAUCACCAUCCCUCUCUUCAACUGCUUUUUCCUCUACACUGGACAGAAUUCCUGCAAGAACCUGGAAGUCAAUUGCUUCCAAGUAGUGAUGCUACCUAAAAGCAAAGAAUUCAAUCAUCUCUUGGCAUCAUCUUUCAGAUAAAAAGGAAAAAGAAUUAACUUGAGCACUUCGAUUGUUAGAUUCUAAGUAUUUUGUCUACUGCACAAAUCAUAAAUCUCUCCAAUGUGAAUCUAGGGAUCCUCAGAGCAAGUUCCCCUGAAAUGUAGAAGUGAAACUAAGCAAAGAUGGAAGUAUGGAAUAUGUCUCCAAAUUUUCUGAAAGGCCUGUUCGUGAUGGUGAACCAAUAUCGAUGGGCGAAAAAGAAUCCAAAGAGGCCUGCUUCUGUCACAUCAUCCAUUUCCUCCUGAUCGACUUGUUCCUUGGAAGUUGUUGAACUUUUCGAUGAUCCAUUUGCUAAAGAAACCUAUCCCCUUUCCUUUCAAAAUGCUUUGGAUGCCCGCAUGUUUUCCAUGCCCGCUCAAUACCAGCCUUAUUUUACUCGUGUUGUAUAACUAUUUUGUUUUUUUAUAAAAAAAUAUUAUUUAUGUAUUAAAAUAAGGUAAAAUAACGAUAAUAUACUUUUAACCAUGUUAAUUAGAGCUAGGUUAACUUGGAAUAUUUUGUUAAAUCCAUGUGAUUGAAAUAACUAGAUAAAAAAUAAUAAAAAAAAUUAUACAGUCUUUGCAAAUAAAUAAAUAAAAAUUUAUGCUAACUUUUCAAACUCAAUCAAUGAAAUGUUAAAAGAUAAAAUUGAAAAAAAAUUAAUUAUACAAAAAGAUUUUAAAAAAAUAAUUAAAAGAAUGAGGAUCGAAAUUGAUAUAAAAAAAUAAAUUUUACAUUUGAUUUAUAGGUGACAUUAAGGGGGGGAAUCAAAUUAAUAAAAGGAUGAAAAAAAAAAUAAGAAUCAAAAUUGAUAUAAAAAAUAAAAACAAUGUUGUAAUUAAUGAGUGAAAUUAAGAAGAAUAAUAAUUGUUUAUAAAAGAACAAAGAAAAAAUUAGAAAUUUAAAUAAUGAGGACUAAAUUAGAAAAUGUAACACCAUCAAUUUCAAUUGAAGGAUAAAAUUGAAAACUACUAAAUCUUUUACAAAAAGACUAAGGGAAAAAAAUAGAAAUUCAAAGAAUGAGGACCACAUUGAAGAUAUAUAUGAUAAAUUAAGAUUGAAUGAUGAAAUUAAAAACAAAUAAAAACUACUACAAAAGGGUUAAGACCAAAAAUUAAAAAAAAGAAGAUUGAAGUUGAAAUACCAACAAACAAGAUGGUCAAGUUGUAAUUUUUUGGGAUAAGAGAGAGAAGAAGGAGAAAAUAAUGGUCAACUAGCGCCAAAUCAGAUCAUCACCGAUAACAUGUACUACAUUAACAAAAAGAGGACAUGACGACUUUUUCAAUAACUCUUUUGGAAUGGCAUAUUUGGACAUCGGGAGGCGCCACAUGCACCGCCUAAAGGGUGCAAACGCUUCCCACUCAUGCCCUGGUACUUCACACGUGUGCCCACCUUUUUGUUUAUUAUUUAUUUUGUCAAAUACAUAAUUGCUCCUAAGCUGACUUUAUAAUUAUAAAAAUAAAAAAACUAUAGUGAAAAACUAAAAACAUCCCUAGACCUCAAGCUUAAAUUUUUUGACUUUAAGGUUAUUUUCAUCGUUUUAUUGUGCAUUUUAGUUGUUUAUUAUUUUUUUAUAUUUGGGCAAAUACCAAAUCCCCCCUCAAAUUAAAUUAUAAUAACCAAAAAACUAUUUUAAAAAUAAAAAAAUAUUAAUUCAUCUCAAGUUUAAAUUUUUUUUAUCUUUAAGGGUAUUUUAGUUAUUUCAUUGUACACUUAAUAUAAAAAAAUUUUAUUUGUCCCUGAUCAAUUUAAAAACAAUAAAUAGGCCAUGUGAAAAGACUUUAAUGUCCUUAAAAGUAAGGUCAAGUUUUUUGGACGAGGGGUAAAAGAGUCACCAUACUAUUCCAAUGUAUAAUGUAAAUAUUUAUACAGUUACAAUGUUUUCCAAAUAUCAAUUAGCUCUUUUUAAUAGACAAGGUUGGUGUAUCCCGUAUGACAAGUUUGCAUACAAAACAAAAUGAAAACAAGAAAGAAAAAGACAAAAAAACUAAAAAAAAAAGAAUAUAAAAAAGAUAUUAAAUAAAAUAAUCUUCGGCAAUUAUGCCAAAAAUUGAUGAGAAAUUUAUAAUAUAGUGGUAUAGCUUGUAAUAUCUCAUAUCAAUGGGUGAGGACUUGGGGGAAGACCUUAUAUGAGCAUACUCACAUUGACUAGUAAGACGCAUUUUGGGGCCAUACGUGGCUGCCAAGAACAAAUCCGUGAUGCAUGUGGGCCAAAGCAGAUAAUAUCUUGCUAGUGGGGUGGGGUGUUACAUUUGGUAUCAGAACCCGGCUCACGAGCUGUUCAAUGAUGCCGACAGGGUCGUCGAGCUCCUUAAAGGGGGUGAAUUGUAAUAUUCCAUAUUGGCGGGUGAGGACUUGGGGGAGAGCCUUAUAUUAGCAUGCUCAACUUGAUUAGUAAGACGCAUUUUAGGGCCAUGCAUGGCUGUCAAAAACAAAUCAGUGAAGCCUGUGAGCCAAAGCGGACAAUAUCUUGUUAGUGGGGUGGGGUGUUACAUAACUACUUCUUAAUAGUAUAGAAAAGUAGAUAUCAUUUCAUUAAAUAAUGUAAUUUCAUUGUUAUUUUACAACUUAAACCAAAAUUAAAGACGCAGGUAUCAAAGCAUUAAUUGUUAGACAAUGGUAAACUAAUCUAAAUGUUUUAAAUAUUUACAAGCAAGUUCUAGACAUGGUAGUAUAACUACUAACCAAAUUUAAAUUGAUUUCAGGUUGAUUUGGAAAGGUAUAAAAUUAAGAUAAAAAGUAUAAAAAAAAUAAAUGAAAUUAUAGCUUGGAAUAGAAGUUGAGAAUCUAGUUAUGGAUGAUUACUCUCACAUGAGGUUCUUAGUAUGAGGAUGCAUUUUCAUACUAAUUCUCUUUUAGUUUCUAUGUUAAGCAUUUGGUAUAAAUGUCCUCACCUAUUUGUUUUUAAGUUCAACCUAGCAUGGUAUCUACUCAAGUUUAGCACUUAGAAGUUAUUAAGAAUAAAUAAAAUAUGAAUGUAGUUAAAACACUAGAACAUGGCAUUUAUUCUAGGUGAUUCAGAAUCAAGUUCACACAAACAUGGUUAUGGAAGUCAUCUCAUACUUUAAAUACAUGUUUAUAUAGAUAGUCACUUGUGUACCUAUAUCUAAUUGAUCCUAAUACAAUCAUAUGAGAUGAUUCGGCAAAAAACCAUAUAAAAGAAUUGAUCGUUAAUAAAUAGAGAACUUGAAAUCAUUUAGGAAAAGAAUUCAUAAGUUUAAUGGAAGCAUAAUAUCAAACAAUCAUAUUUAGGAUUUAAAUUGAGUAGUAAAUAUAAUUGGGAUUAGUUAUUCAUGACUACAAAAAAAAAUUCCAAGAUAAUUAAUAAGGAAUGAAUAAACCAAACACCAUAAAAUCAAAAGUGGAAUUUUGGUGGCAAAUGCUUUCUUCACCUCAUUUGGUCUCAAACUUGAAUUUUCUUUUCGUCUUUUAUAAUGCUCUCCUCUUGAAUACUUUCUUUUACUUAUUUGAUAUCUUAAUUUUUUUUUUCAAAAUAGACAAAUUUCAAUCCCUGACUUUUGACCUGAUUUUCUCUGUCAGGUCAACUUAUUUUCAAAAGGUGAUAAACAUAAAUGUUGUAUAUAUCUUUUGUAGUUUUUUUUUCCUAUUACUAAAAUAAUUUAAAUUGAAUAUCUAGAAACAAUUAUGCUUGAUUUACUAAUAUAUGUUUCUAAAAUUUCUAGAAGGGAAAUUUCCUAUUCUUAAAAUAGGAAAUGACAAUUUCUUCAUUUCUUAUAACGUGCACAGAAAUCAAUUGGACCUCUUUAAAGUUAAUUUUGGCAUUGAAUUGGUUUCUAAAUAGGCUUCCUCAAUAUCAUGAACCUAAAUAUAGUUAGAAUUCAAAGAUUGAAUGUUAAUUAUUCACAUCAAAGCCUAUUAUUCAAUGAUUUUAUUUUUCCAUAAAUAAAAACUUAUAAAAUUUAAAAAAAAACUAUAAAAUAAAUUGAAGAUAACUAGCAUAAAAUUACCCAUAAAAGUACUUUAAAAUUCACAUAAAAAAUAAGCUCUUCAAAGAUUUAAGAAAUAUAGAGAUUACAAGGUAGAUAAUUGGCUCGCAUUAUGUUACUAGUCAAGCCAAAAUUAUUCAAUGUGAAAGCAUAAUAUUCUAGCCACGAGAAACUCUUUAACAUUGUCAUUAAACCCAACCCAUUUGAUCAACUUUAAACUUUUUGACUCGAGUAGUCCUUUCCUAACCCGAAUAAUACACUUAAUCUUUAAAUAUAAAUCAAUUAAUUGUUGAAUUGAUAAUAAGUUAAAUUUUUUUAAUUCAAUUUUGAUUUUGAUUAUAAUUUAUAUUUGAGCUAACAUAUUAGAAACCUAAUGAUUUUCACACAAUAAAAAUCAUUUGUUAGAGAUUAAAAUAUGAUGAUUAAUCAAGUGUGACUUGAUUAAAGAUAAGUUUUAGAAAUUAAAAAAUUGAAUAUAAUUAAUUUAAAGAUUACAAUUCUAGACCCAUAAAAAAUCAAGUACGGAGUUAAUUUUUUUUUCCUAUGUAAAUAGAAUAGUUUUCUAGUUUAUUUGUUAUAUUUAAUAUUAUUUAUUCUAAAUAAAUUAUUGUAAUGAUGUUUUCAUAAGUGAUACAUGAAUGAAUAAAAUUAAGUAUUUUAAGAGUUUUCUCAUGGUUAUGGUGUUCUUGGUCUUUGAAAGUUUUGACUAUUAACAAACUUGUUAUCAUUUGCUCUCGUGUAUAUAAGAUACCCAACAUGAUCAAAAGGCUACCUCCUCUGUUCUCACAUUUGAAACAAGUUUUGAAAGUUGGUCAUGAAUUCAUGAUCACUCUUCAUAUUAUCUCCGUUAAUUGACGGGUGAAUUCUAAAAUUUAUACAUGUCUUUUAUGACCAACUCCUAAACAUCUCUUCUCCAAUGGGGGAAUCUCAUCACCCUCUCCUACAUGAGCAUGUCUUGUUUUUUGAACUCUUUCAGCCAUGGUUAUUUAAGAGCAUAUAAAAACUAACCAUUAUAAAUGAUUAGGCUUUGAUACCAACUAAUAUAAAUGAAAGCAACAUAAGAAAGAUAACAAGUAUAAACGACACAGAAUUGUCUUGAAUAUGGUAACCACACAAAAAUUCUAAUUCAAAAUUUUAUUACCAAAUAUUUCUCUUUAAAUUAUCUACCAAAAUAUUGGUUAAACAACAUUAUUUAUAUUAGCCUUAGUUUUAUCUUGAAGAAGGAAAAAAAUUCUAAUAAAUAAUUAUAUAGUUAUUCUAGGAAUUCAUAAUCUAAAUAAGAAAAAAAAAAAUUACCAAGCACAAUGUUUUAUUUCCUAAACUAAAUAGAAUAAAAAUAACUUAGGAAAUAAAUGAUUUCUUUUAAAAAUCCUCUUGCAUCAUUGCAUGAUGGUUGCGUGAUGGUGGCUUUCUUAAGGUUCAAUUAUGGAAAGAUUUUCUCUGUGAAGAAUCCAAGGUUUGGGAUGCUUUAUACUCAAAGAUUCCUUAUACCUCAUGAAAUCCUUCUAUCCUGAAAGGUGCCUGCAAACUCGGAGAAUUCCACUUAAAAACCUAAGUUUCUAUGAUGAUCAUCCUGAACACAAGGUCAUCUUCUUCGAUAUCGCUCAUGAUAUGUGUUCUCAAAACUAAAUAUAGAGUUACAAUCAUCUAUCUCACGAUCUUUCAAAUCUUGAACUGUAAAUUAUGGUUUAAACUUGUGACUUGCCUUUGUAAAUCCUUAAUUAUUAGUUUUUGAACAUCAUGUUCUGAGAUUAGAACCUCCUUAUCUAGAAAACAUCAUUCUUUAUCAUGAACAUGUCUUGCUUUAUAACCUUCAACCAUGGUAAUCAGUGAGCUCAACCAAUAAGGUUUGCACUUUAAUACUAACCGACACAACCUAAACUCUAUAAUUGAAAUUAAAAGGAAAAUGAUGAGAGGGAUAAAAUAAAAUUUUUUUGAGAAAAUCCCUUGAUGUCAUAGGUAUUGUUCUAAAGAAGAGAAAGAGAAUAACCUUUUUAUUAAAAUUAUCAAAGUCCAUUAAAAUUCAAAUUAAACAAUCAUAUUUAUACUAGUCUUAGGCCUAAACCCUGAUCCCCAAAAAGAAAAAUAAUAAUUAUAGAGUUAAUAUAGAAUUCAACUAAUAUUAGAAUUCCUAUACUAAAUAAAAAAAAAUAUAACGAAGGAAAAUUUUUUGAACCUAAAAUCAUCAAAGUUAUAAAAAUGGGCUCAAAAAAGUACUUUUAAUAAUUUAUUUUUGAGUCGGGACUAAAAACUUAGGCUUUCAGGAUUUUAACAUGUCCUAGCUUAUCGAGACUUUUUGGUGAACUCACUAAUUUUAAAAAAAAAACUAAAGAUAAAAAUUAAUUAUUUUGAAAAUAAAGGGAUCUCAACAAGUUUAUAUAUAUAUAUAUAUAUUACAUUUCAAAUAGUAAAGUUUGGCAUAUAGUCUAUUUAAAAUAAAAUGUAAUUUCUCAUCAAAAAUAAAUUAUAAGAAUGAAACAAACCUCCUUACGAACCUAAAUCACUUAUGAAAUUAAAGUAAGCAAAAUAUGCUAAAUUCAUUACCCAGAUGAAGGCUACUUAGGGAGAAGAAGGGGUAACCUAAUUGAAACGCCAAGGAUUAGUCAAAGGCUAGUUAGAGAGAAGAAAGGGUAGCCCAAAAAAAAACCCGAAGAUUAGUGAAAUGGUUUAAUAGAAGUGAUUAUUAUCAGUUUGGUUUGGUUUAUAUAAAAAAUAAUAGUCAAACCAAAUUUUUUUUAAAAAAAUCAAAACCGGUUCAAACCAAUCGGUUUGGAUUUGGUUUGGUUUUUUUGAACAAAAACCGAUUUGACUUGGUUUUUUUCGAUUUGGGUUCGGUUCUGUUUUUUCAGCCUAGCUCGGUUUUUUUUUGUUUGGAUUCUGAUCGGUUCGGGUUUUUCAGUUUUAAAUUUAUAAAAUCAAAAUUAAAAUUGAACUGGUCAGUUUUUUUUAAAAAUUUAAUCUAUUUUUUUUACAAUUCAAUUUUUUUAAUUAUUUUUUUUCUAAUUUUUUAAUUUUUUUUUAACCUCGACUUCAUGAAGUUUGAUAGAGAACUACCAAUCUCAAACUUGUUUCGCAAAACAUCACGGAACCAAAAAAAAAGGUUCAAACUUCAAAGCCUGGUGUACCAACCAAGAAAAUGUCCAUGUCCAGGUCAAAGUUUUCAUGACUUCACGAGGGAUAAACUAGAAACUAGAUAUCAUGCUCAAUAAGCUUCCAAACCUCAAAAGUGUAAAUAAAAUCAUUAAAUUAGAAAUAAAUAAAUAACGGUACUUAUAUGGUACGGGAAGGAAAUAAAACAUGGAUGGAUUGAAAAAUCUAAAUUGUUAAUCACAAGUUUUUUAUAAAAAAAGAAAAAAAUCAAUAAAAGAAAGAGAAUAAAAAGUGGGAAUAUUCGUAUAGGGAGAUGGAUUAACAAAUAAUCUUAAUCUAAAGAGUAAAUAAAAAAUAUAGUAAGAGUAGGGGAAUUACAAGUACAUUAAUUAAGCACCAGCAGUCAGGGAGAGCCGAGAGGGCGGAAAGAGAGGCAAGAGGCAAACCCGCCACGCCCCCGCCCCUUGCUAGCCUCCAAAGGAUCACUCUCACUCAUAUACCUGCCUCGUCAACUCUUCUUCACAUGCAUCAUAGUAUAAAAGACAUUUCCAGAACCUCACUAAUCACUCUCUUGAUCUCUCUGUCUUUCUCGCUCAAUUAAUCUCAUCAUCUGCUGCUCAUCAUGGCUCAUUUGGCUGCACUUUCUCAGGUUCCAAAACGCCAUACCCUUUGAGAUCUCUGUUUCUUUUUUUAACAGUUGCCUCAUCUUUUGUACUAGAGAUUGAUUGUUCUUUUUCUUUUUUAUUUUGUCGCUGCAGGUUUCCUUUGCUGCUCCUGCUGGGAGCGACACCACCCUAAGGAGAUCUGCUUUUAAGGUAAUUUUAAAUCUUGUUUCAUGAUUAUGGAAGAAGAUUAUUAAAGGUUCUGUUUGGUUUCCUUCAACCUUUCCUCUUAGCAAGAUGAGGGCAAAUUUUCCGUUUUUUAAAUCUGUUGUUUGUAUGCUUGUUCAUGUCCAAAAAAGAAAAAGAAAAAAAAAAGAAAUUUCUGUUCGAGUUGAACAUUUUCUUUGAUAACUGAUGAGGAUGGGUCACUUACAACUUACAGUUAUGUUAAACAAGGAUUUGAUAUUUGAAGGGUUAUGAAUGUGGAAAGAGGUUGAUAUUCCAAGCUUGUGGAUCAUGAUCUUUAUUGCUAUUAUAGAUGGAGAAGAAGAGUAUGGUCAUCUUUCAAAUGCUGGAAAAUAGAUUGCUGAAUAAGACACUUAAUGGUGGCUGCAUCAGUUCAAACUUGAUAAGAAAUUAAAAAGUGGGGGGGGGGAUGACAUGAAACUGAUUUUGUGCUCUUUAAUUUCGAGCUUGCUAUUAAGUUGUUCCUGAAGAAGAAAUGCUUGCAUGUGCUAGUUCAUUCAUGCAUAGGUUACGUAGGGUGUCGACCUGUUUCUCCGCCCCCAAAUAUGUUUGCAAGUGAAAUAAUUGUCCUUUUAAUCGAGAGAGAACUCUUUUGUUUGAGAUGAAGAACAUUCCCAUGUCUAAACUGAAGGUCAAUGAUCCAAAGAUCAAGCUGAAGUUUCUUUAGCUUAUUGAGUACAAGUACAGCUUGCAGCAAUCCUGUUAUCCAAUUUAAACAUUGCACUUUGUUAAAUGCAAUCCUGUUAAAUGCUCUUGCAUUUUGUUAAAUGCUUCUGCACUUUGUUAGUAGUUACUGAAGCCCUGCUAGUUACCACAGUCUUCCAUUAAGUGAAGUUGCCGGUCAUUCCAUAUGUUUUUGCACAUGCAAGCUGCUAAGCUAUAUGACUGGUUAAAAUUAGAUCCUAAUUUAAGAGAUCUUGUACUGGUGAUUGACCCAAUUUUCUUUGUAUCCAAUAAGUAAUCUCUACAUGAUGAGGCACUAAUCUGAUUUGGACAAUUAUCCCUGUUUAAGCGUUUCAAUCUGCUCCAAUUUUCAUUAUGUGUUUGUGUACGUGUGUACAUGUGGCUGCCAUCCAUUUGCUUUGCAUUCAUGUAAAUGUGUGUGUGCAUGCUAAUUAGAUCUCAAGGAAGUUUCCCAUGAUUUUGUUGCAGAUUCAAAAUAUAAGCUUUGGUGAUAAAUCAUGGCACCCUGCCUCAUCUUUGGAUUUGAAAUCAAGAAAUACUGGGUUGAAAAAACGAUUGUUGGUAUGCAUGUCUGUGCAACAAGCCAGUAGAUCUAAGGUUGCAGUUUCACCUUUAGAACUUGAAGAUGCGAAGGAACCCCCAUUGAAUACAUACAAGCCCAAGGAACCUUACACAGCAACAAUUGCCUCUGUAGAGAGGCUUGUCGGCCCAAAUGCUCCUGGAGAGACUUGCCAUGUAGUGAUUGAUCAUGGUGGUAAUGUUCCCUACUGGGAAGGACAGAGUUAUGGCGUGAUACCCCCUGUAAGUCAUGCUAUUUAUCAUGCGACUAGGCCUGCUAUAGCUUGCAUUAAAUUGGUGGCUUCUGCCUGUCUUUUUGGUGGUGGUGGUGGUUUUGGGUGGGGAUUGGGCAUGUUGAAGAUUGCAUUGAAGUGCUAGAGCAUGCAUAUGCUGUUCUAGUAAGCAUUGUCAUCCCAGUCAUUAUAGUCUGAGCAUGCUGUUAACCUUUAGUUCCAAGUUGAUAUAGUUGAAAUCUAGCAGAUCCUGAUCUACUCAAUCCAGUCUAAUUGAAGAGUGGGACUCUAGAUUUUGCAUUAAAGUCAGCAUUUGUUCAUCUUUUUUUGUGAUACUUCGGUAAUAAUGCUUCUAUAUAACUAAUGUAAUUUGUCUCUUUGCAUCAUAGGGUGAAAACCCGAAGAAACCAGGGGCCCCCCACAAUGUACGUCUAUAUUCAAUAGCAUCUACCAGAUAUGGAGAUUCUUUUGAUGGCAAGACUGCUAGUUUAUGUGUCCGCCGUGCUGUCUAUUAUGACCCUGAGACUGGAAAGGAGGAUCCUUCGAAGAGUGGUGUGUGCAGCAAUUUCCUCUGCAACUCAAAGCCUGGAGACAAAGUUCAGAUCACUGGUAUGGCCCUGCUAAUUUGGUGGAAAGACUGAGAAACUUGUUAUUUUUUGUUGUAUCAUUUAUUUAUUUGUUUAUUUCCUUUGUUUUAGCUAACCAAGGAUGCUCUGGUUUCGUGUUUUGAUGCUUAAUUAUUGAUAUACUGUUAUUAAACAACAAACUAUUCAAGUUGUUUUUUGACUUGACUAAAGCAAAAUCAUAAUCAAUUUAACUGAAAUUCCUAAAUUAUUUUUGGAGUUUAAGUUAAAAUCUUGUUUUAAGCACAAAAAAAAACCUUUUGAUUGUUGACUUUUUACUCAAGGUUGAUUUAUUCAUGAGCUACUUUUAGAUUUAAAUCAAAGUCUUCUUUUAAACUAAUAUUAUGACACUGCUAUCAAAUAUACCAUUCAAUUUAAAAGCAUCUGGCUUAAAGUAAAAAAAAAUUUCAUGACUUUGAGCAAUCUAUAACUCAUGCCAAACAAUCUCUUAGUCUCCAAAUUGCUGGUAAAACACAUGAAAUGUUGUUAGGAUUGUCUCGCCUGCUUCUUGGAAUGGGCUAGUGGAUAUAAUUUGCAUCACAUGAUGAUUUAUUAGCCAUUAACUGUCCUAGAAUAUCUUUGGCAGGACCUUCUGGCAAGAUAAUGCUUUUACCUGAGGAUGACCCAAAUGCCACCCACAUAAUGAUUGCUACUGGCACUGGCGUGGCUCCAUUUAGAGGUUAUCUCCGGCGAAUGUUCAUGGAGGAUGUCCCAACAUACAAGUUUGGUGGUCUUGCGUGGCUUUUCCUUGGGGUGGCCAACAAUGACAGUCUCCUCUAUGAUGAGGAAUUUGCCAAAUAUCUUCAGGAUAACCCGGACCAUUUCCGGUAUGACAAGGCACUCAGUAGAGAACAAAAGAACAAGAGUGGAGGCAAGAUGUACGUGCAGGAUAAGAUUGAGGAAUACAGUGAUGAGAUCUUCAAACUCUUGGAUGAUGGAGCGCACAUCUAUUUCUGUGGACUCAAAGGAAUGAUGCCUGGGAUCCAAGAUACGCUGAAGAAAGUUGCGGAACAGAGAGGAGAGAAGUGGGAUGAAAAGCUCUCACAGCUUAAAAAGAAGAAACAAUGGCAUGUUGAAGUGUACUGAUAUUGCAUCUUUAUGAGCUUCGAGACAGCAGCAGCAGUGUGGUCCUGUUAGGUAAUGUGGCAUUUUUCUGUUGUUGGUCAGCAUCACAUGAACUUGAUUAGAUGAAACCAUUCAUCUGUGCUGUUAAAUAAUGAAAUGGAUUAAAACAAAUUAGAAACCUUUUGUUUGGUAUUGAUAAAUGAUUCUUGUAUCCUCUCAACGCAAGUUGUCAUUUGCUGUGUCAAGUAUCAACCGUGGAGGUGAAGUCUGUCGCUUGUAGUGGCUGAAAGGGCAGCAUCUGUCAUAAACUCGUAACGAUUAUAUAAAUGCACUGGCUUGGUUUGGAAUCCAAGGACUCUCUGGUGUUCCGGCCCAUAUGGAGGCUUCUCUUUUUCAAGCAUUUUACUUUUGUUUUACCAUUGACCUUCCUUCCUCGCCCAAAAAAAUGUGUUUAAGUAUUAAAGUACUCUUUUUCAACUUGUUUGGGAGUUUGGUAAUGUAAUUGUGAUUAUUUUUUAAAAGUAUUUUUAUUUAGAAAUGUAUUAAAAUAAUAUUUUUUUAUUUUUUAAAAAUUAUUUUUAAUAUCAACAUAAAUAAUCUGAAAAUACUAAUUUGAAAUAAAGAAAAAAAUUUAAUUUUUUUUUAAAAAAUUAGAAGUGUUUAAAAUGUAAAAACAAAUAGGAUAAAAAAUUUUUUUGUUUUUUUUUUUAGGAUAAUUAAUGGAGGAAAGAGUUGAUGGUUAUUUGUGAUUGUUUUUAUAAAAAAUAAUUUAAAAUAAAAUUAAAUUUUUUAAAAAUACUGAUAAAAUAUAAAAGCAAAUAACCCCUAAAUUUAUAAAUGUCUGUGUUCAUCAAAGCCAUCACUCAAAUCCAUCUAGUACCUAAGCCCAACAAACACUUUGCUUCCCUUUUAUCGUUUUUUUGUUUUCUUUUUGGAAAUUAUUGGGAGGUAAGGUGGGAGAUAGUGACAUUAAUGCUUAUUGUUUUUGGAAAGGAAAGGAAAAGGGAUAAUUACGGAUGGAAGGUGGAAUAGAGUUCUCCCCGUCUGGUUGGUUGAUGUAACCCAUUCCUUACUUCCACCUCAUUUUGUUCAAUCCGAGCAAGCGGUAGAAUCAGAAGAUAAAUCCCUAGUUGGAGGUGCGGAUAGGUUGGAUAAAAUUCAGUUUUUUUAAAAAAAUUAAAUUAAGAUGAUGAUUUUUAUUUUGAUUGUUUAAAUACUUUUAUAUAAUUUAUGUUAUUACUAAUAUUUGUUUAUUUAUUACCCUUGAUUUGGAUAAUAUAUAGCAAAAUCAGUAUAAUAUUUUCUAUAUAAGAUAACUUAAUUAUUUUAAGUUUAAAAAUCUUUUACACAACAGUCAUAUAAGCUUUUCCAUGGAUGCAAGUGAUCUCUUUAUAUGUAAUUUUCAUAUUGGUUAGUUCAACAUACAUGUCAUCUGAUAAGCAUCUAUAUAUUAGUUUUAGAUAUCUCUUAUACUUCAGCUUAUGAGAACAAUUGAUUCUUUUCAUAAAAUAAAAAAUAUAAUAUGUGUCAGCAUCAACAACUCGAAUUAAUGUCCAAUGUUAAUAAAGCAUUAACUAGAAAUAUUUAAGAAUAAUAAUUUGAUACAAUAGAAAUCUCAUAAUUAUAAUUUUAUAAUUUUCUUUACAAAAUAUUUUUGUCCCAAAAUUUUUAUUUUCAUUCUAGAUUCAUUAAUUAAAUAUUUCAUGAAUAUUAAAGAUGAAUAAACUUUUAUUAAAAAUUAAAUAUUUUUAUAUAAAUAAAGUCAAUGUCAUGUGUAACUAAUCAAUUGACUACAAAAUAUAUUCACUAACAUAAUGACAUUUAUAUUGAUUUAUCCCAUGUUAGAGAUUUACUCUUUUUUUUUUUAUCUUUAUAUUAGGUGCAAGUAUAACAUAUUCAAUGUACAUCUUAUAUUAAAUUCCAUGAUAUGAAAUUCCAAUUUAUUUAGGUAUAUCCUGAGCAUUUCAAUCCUCCAAAGGUCAUUUUGGAUAAAUUGUGAAAUUUUAAAACAAAAUGCUUAUUAUUUUGUACAAUAUUUGGACUUUUUGGAUAUUAUUAAUUUGAUUUUAAGUUUUUUUUUUAGUUUGAAAUUAUGUGGUUAUUUGUGUUAAAUUGUGAGAUUAUAUUUUGGAUUGAUAUUGCUUUUUUAAACAUUAUAUUGGUGCAAGAGUUAUGUUUGGAUUUAUUUUAAUUUAUUUGAAUUGACAUGAAAUUUGAACGAAUUAAGUGAAAUUAAUAAAAUUAUGGUUGAUGUUUUUUGGUUUUGGUUUUGAGUUGAUGAAUGAUAAUUUAUUUUGAAUUGAUAUCGUGGUUAAAAUAACAUUGAUAAAAACAUGUUAUUUGUGUCUUGCUAAACAAGUCUUCGUCCAGUUUUUAAUAAAUUUUUAAUUUUGAAAAAAUUAUUUUGCAAUUAAUUUUGAAUUUCCUAUUUUUUUGUACCCUCACAUAUUAAUAUUUGGAUAUAGUAACUAAUUUAUUAAAGUCGUGAGAACAUGGCCUAUAUUUUAAAAAUAUCAAAAAAAAAUUAUUUUGUUAGUCUCAAUAUCAAGGAUUACGAACUUAUACGUAAGAUGUAUUCUCAAUAUUAAAAAAUAUAUAUAAUUUUUUUACUAUAGAGUGAACAGGCUUUAGCUAGAUAAAAUAAUGAUCUCGUUAUCAAUAAUGACUUUUUUUAAAUUUUAAAUAUACUAACAAUUAAAAAACGCAACAAUAUCUUGGUUUGUAUAAGACAAAUAAACAAUCCCGUGUACAUUAGGUAAUGUGUACUAAUAGUAAUGCCUUUUUUUUAUAUACUAGUUUUUUUAUAUAGAUCUUAAAACUAGUUAGGGUUUUUAGUUACUAAAAUAUUAAAUUACAACUCAUUCUUUUUUCCUUCUAAAAUCAAACAAGAAUUCCUUAUUUUUUUUAUAUUACCAAAGAAAUCCCAAUCCGAAAGAACGAUAAUUGCACAUGGGCGACAUUGAUAAUUCUUACACAUUCAUUUAUUUGUGUUAGAUUUUUUUUAUCCAACCCGUGAAGCCUUGUAAAUUGAUUAGUUAUAUCCUAAAUUAAUUUUAGAUAUAUUUGAGAAAUACUAAUACAUAUUAUAAGUUAGUAUUUAAUUACUUCUCAUAAUAAAAAAAACAAAAAAAAAAACAAAUGAAACAUAUUUCAUUAUAUUUUCUUGUUUAAUAAUAUAAAAAUUCACAUGAAAACUAUUUUAAAAAUAAAUUAAUAUUUUAUUUUUCUAUUUAUAUUUUUUAACUAAAUAAUUUUCUAUAUUUAUUGUUGUAUUUUAAAAUACAAACCAAAACGUAACUUGGAAAAGAUUAAAUACCCCAUCAUUAUUGGAAAAACUGGUGAUAACAAAGUACUGGAUACAAACACGUGGAAGAUGCUGACGUGCUUAUUAGGUGACAAGUUAUGUAUAGUUCAUUUUAACAGUGCUUAAUUACUCGGUCUAAACAGUUGGCUAAAAAUUAUUAUUUUUUAUAUUUUAAUUGUUUUCAAUUAUUAACAUUAAAAAUAAAAUUUUAAAAAAUAAUAAAAAAUAUUAUUUUAAUAUAUUUUAAAAUAAAAAUCACUCUAAAACAACUCUGCAACUCUCUCAUUCAACUCGUAUAUUGUGUUUUAAGCAAUUAAACAAUUAAAUCUUAUUACUCUCAUCAAUAUUAAUAAUUGAAUCAAAUUUCAGAUUUCUGUCAUUCAAUAUAUUUGUAUGUAGAUCAUUCCAAUUCUUUCUCUCUGACUCUAAUUUUCAAUUCCAGUUUUACUUAAAACUUGAAUUAGAAAAAGAAAAACAUUCUGUACAAGGAGCAGUUGCACAGAUUUUCCGAGUCAUAAACAUUCUCUACGGUACUAUCCAUUUCGCAAGGUUAGACCUUCUUCUUCAUCUUCUUAUACUUACCAUCUGUUUGUUUCUCUAGUAAAUCGUGGAAUCUCGCAAAUCACCAUCUCCAUCUCUCUUAUAUUUUUCUUUUUCCUAUUUUCCUGCGUUUUGUCAGCAUCCAAACAGAUCGUUGAGCUACUUUUAUGUUCGGUGUUAUUAUGAUUCUUUUUUGAAUUUUUGAAGUGUUCAUUGGGUCUGUCAUGCUGUUAUUAUUAUUUGUAAUUUUUGUUUUUGAGACAUUAGGAUCGGUGGGUUCUAUGUGAUGGUUUGGUUUUGGAAUUCUAAUUUAGGUUGAAUUCUAUCUAGUUUUUUCAUUUUUUUAGUGGGGCCAAUCAUGUCAACUUUAAUUUUUUUUUUUGGGGGGGGAUACAGGCGUGCUUAACAGUAGCAUACUAAUAAGGCAAGGCAGAUCACGUCGCUAGUCAGGGCGUUUUGUUGCUGAUGUUUGGCAUUUCAUAGAUUUCCUGCAUCGUCCUCCUGCUGGAUGAUCUUCUACAUGGAAGUCUACAGUUUUAUAGUUCAGAUUGGAUUUAAUGAUGAAUGCAAGGUGAAAUAAGAAAUUUGAUGAUUGUGUCAGGAAUCGGCUUUUUGGAUUAUACUAUUCUAUUUUCAACGACGAGGAGAUUUUACAGCUUAAAUAUUGUUAUUCACGGUGUUGAAUUAUUGACCAUAAACAGGAUAUUUAUCCAAUUCAAUGUAAAGCUUAAAAUUUUAUCAUUUCUCUGUGAUUGAAUCUUGAGAUAAUGCAAGCAAAUAACAAUGCAUCAAUAGAACUGGGAAAACAGUGAUAGACAUUGCCUUUCAUUUUGUGAGGAUAUAACAGGCGACUAGUGACAAUACCCAAGAGUGGUGAUUGUUGGAGAUACAGCAUCAGAAAGUGUUUGUGGCCUAGCAUUUUGUGAGUACCUGAUGCUGGUCCGGCACAUUACAUGUUGAUGCCUGCUCAGGUUCGUGGGCUUGUAGCACUGCUAGAGAGCGUUCUACAUGCUUCAUCAUGGAGG
rnacentral:lncRNA from 1 species